rnacentral:rRNA from 1 species
GCCCGCCAGAGAAUUACAAGCAAAAGCUUAAAACCCAAAGGACUUGACGGUGUCCCACACCAACUUAGAGGAGCCUGUCCUAUAAUCGACACCCCGCGCUAAACCUUUCCCCCCCUAGCAACUCUCAGUCUAUAUACCGCCGUCGCCAGCUUGCCUGAUGACAGCAGCCAAAGCCAGCAAAAAAGUGCCCCACAAAAACGUCAGGUCAAGGUGUAGCUAAUGCGGGGGUAAGAGAUGGGCUACAUUUUUUAUAAUAAAAAAUCACCAAACGCACAUAUGAAAAAGUGCCAAAAGGCGGAUUUAGCAGUAAGGAUGGACAAGAAACGCCACCCUGAA